GUGGCGGACGGGUGAGUAACGCGUGGGUAACCUGCCCUUUUGUGGGGAACAACUUCGAGAAAUCGGAGCUAAUACCGCAUAAUAAUAGAGAAUCGCAUGAUUCUUUAAGGAAAGAUGGCCUCUGAGAAUGCUAUCGCAAAAGGAUGGACCCGCGUCUGAUUAGCUAGUUGGAAGGGUAACGGCCUACCAAGGCAACGAUCAGUAGCCGGCCUGAGAGGGUGAACGGCCACAUUGGGACUGAGACACGGCCCAAACUCCUACGGGAGGCAGCAGUGGGGAAUCUUCCGCAAUGGGCGAAAGCCUGACGGAGCAAUGCCGCGUGAGUGAAGAAGGCCUUCGGGUUGUAAAACUCUGUCCUUAUCGAAGAGAGGUGGGUAUGUGAAUAAUGUACCUAUAGGACGGUAGAUAAGGAGGAAGCCCCGGCUAACUACGUGCCAGCAGCCGCGGUAAUACGUAGGGGGCGAGCGUUGUCCGGAAUCACUGGGCGUAAAGGGCGCGUAGGCGGUUUAAUAAGUCAGUGGUGAAAACUGAGGGCUCAACCCUCAGCCUGCCACUGAUACUGUUAGACUUGAGUAUGGAAGAGGAGAAUGGAAUUCCUAGUGUAGCGGUGAAAUGCGUAGAUAUUAGGAGGAACACC
rnacentral:rRNA from 1 species